CAGUCGUACCUUCGGGUAAUCAGCCUUUCGGGUGCGAUUCUGUGGAGUGUGAGGAGCUUAAACACCUUCAUGUUUUGCAUAUUCGUACUCUUGGGUGUACUUGCCCGUGUGGUUGGUUAACAUCAAUUUUGGUGGUCAUAAAAUGACUGGAGGAAUGUAGCUUCGAUCUUGUAUUGAAGUGUUAUAGCCUUCGGUAGAUGUGAUGAUCGAGAUUGAGGAUUGCAACGGAUACCCUUCGGGGCUACCUGUCUGAUCUCUGAUCGUUGCUCUGGUGCCGAAAGCGUGCUUACGGUCAUCGAAAGUGAUUUUCAAUAGGUUUGAACGGGUUAAA
rnacentral:rRNA from 1 species